rnacentral:rRNA from 1 species
GACGAACGCUGGCGGCGUGCUUAACACAUGCAAGUCGAACGGUGAACCAGAGCUUGCUCUGGGGAUCAGUGGCGAACGGGUGAGUAACACGUGGGCAACCUGCCCCAGACUCUGGGAUAACCUCGGGAAACCGAUGCUAAUACCGGAUACGACCACUUCGGACAUCCGACGGUGGUGGAAAGUUUUUCGGUCUGGGAUGGGCCCGCGGCCUAUCAGCUAGUUGGUGGGGUAAUGGCCUACCAAGGCGACGACGGGUAGCCGGCCUGAGAGGGCGACCGGCCACACUGGAACUGAGACACGGUCCAGGCUCCUACGGGAGGCAGCAGUGGGGAAUAUUGCACAAUGGGCGAAAGCCUGAUGCAGCGACGCCGCGUGAGGGACGACGGGCCUCGGGUUGGUAAACCGUACUUUCUAGCAGGGACGAAGCGAAAGUGACUGUACCUGCAGAGAAAGCACCGGCUAACUAACGUGCCAGCAGCCGCGGUAAGUCACGAGAGUA